GAACGCUGGCGGUAGGCCUAACACAUGCAAGUCGAACGGCCGCACAGUAAGAGCUUGCUCUUACGGGUGGCGAGUGGCGGACGGGUGAGGAAUACAUCGGAAUCUACUUUUUCGUGGGGGAUAACGUAGGGAAACUUACGCUAAUACCGCAUACGACCUACGGGUGAAAGCAGGGGAUCUUCGGACCUUGCGCGAUUGAAUGAGCCGAUGUCGGAUUAGCUAGUUGGCGGGGUAAAGGCCCACCAAGGCGACGAUCCGUAGCUGGUCUGAGAGGAUGAUCAGCCACACUGGAACUGAGACACGGUCCAGACUCCUACGGGAGGCAGCAGUGGGGAAUAUUGGACAAUGGGCGCAAGCCUGAUCCAGCCAUACCGCGUGGGUGAAGAAGGCCUUCGGGUUGUAAAGCCCUUUUGUUGGGAAAGAAAAGCAGCAGGUUAAUACCCCGCUGUUCUGACGGUACCCAAAGAAUAAGCACCGGCUAACUUCGUG
rnacentral:rRNA from 1 species